UACAGAGGGUGCGAGCGUUAAUCGGAAUUACUGGGCGUAAAGCGUGCGUAGACGGUUAUUUAAGUCGGGUGUGAAAGCCCCGGGCUCAACCUGGGAAUUGCAUUCGAGACUGAAUAGCUAGGGUACGGUAGAGGGAAGCGGAAUUUCCGGUGUAGCGGUGAAAUGCGUAGAUAUCGGAAGGAACAUCAGUGGCGAAGGCGGGUCUCUGGACAGUUCCUGACGCUGAGGCACGAAGGUCAGG
rnacentral:rRNA from 1 species